AUUGAACGCUGGCGGCAUGCUUUACACAUGCAAGUCGAGCGGCAGCGCGGGGGCAACCCUGGCGGCGAGCGGCGAACGGGUGAGUAAUGCAUCAGAACGUAUCCUCGAGUGGGGGAUAACCCAGCGAAAGUUGGGCUAAUACCGCAUGAGCUCUGAGGAGGAAAGCGGGGGACCUGCGAGGGCCUCGCGCUGGAGGAGCGGCCGAUGUCCGAUUAGCUAGUUGGUGGGGUAAAGGCUUACCAAGGCGACGAUCGGUAGCUGGUCUGAGAGGAUGAUCAGCCACACUGGGACUGAGACACGGCCCAGACUCCUACGGGAGGCAGCAGUGGGGAAUUUUGGACAAUGGGGGCAACCCUGAUCCAGCCAUGCCGCGUGAGUGAAGAAGGCCUUCGGGUUGUAAAGCUCUUUCGGACGGAACGAAAUGGGCGGGACUAAUACUCCUGUCUGAUGACGGUACCGUAAGAAGAAGCACCGGCUAACUACGUG
rnacentral:rRNA from 1 species